UACGUAGGGUGCGAGCGUUAAUCGGAAUUACUGGGCGUAAAGCGUGCGCAGGCGGCGCGUUAAGACAGGUGUGAAAUCCCCGGGCUCAACCUGGGAAUUGCGUUGGAGACUGCAAGGCUGGAGUCUGGCAGAGGGGGGGUAGAAUUCCACGUGUAGCAGUGAAAUGCGUAGAGAUCCGGAAGAACACCGGUGGCGAAGGCGGCCUGCUGGGCAGUUUUGCUGACACUGAGGCGCGAAAGCGUGGGGAGCAAACAGG
rnacentral:rRNA from 1 species